CGGCCGUAACUAUAACGGUCCUAAGGUAGCGAAAUUCCUUGUCGGGUAAGUUCCGACCUGCACGAAUGGCGUAAUGAUGGCCAGGCUGUCUCCACCCGAGACUCAGUGAAAUUGAACUCGCUGUGAAGAUGCAGUGUACCCGCGGCAAGACGGAAAGACCCCGUGAACCUUUACUAUAGCUUGACACUGAACAUUGAGCCUUGAUGUGUAGGAUAGGUGGGAGGCUUUGAAGUGUGGACGCCAGUCUGCAUGGAGCCGACCUUGAAAUACCACCCUUUAAUGUUUGAUGUUCUAACGUGGACCCGURAUCCGGGUUGCGGACAGUGUCUGGUGGGUAGUUUGACUGGGGCGGUCUCCUCCUAAAGAGUAACGGAGGAGCACGAAGGUUGGCUAAUCCUGGUCGGACAUCAGGAGGUUAGUGCAAUGGCAUAAGCCAGCUUGACUGCGAGCGUGACGGCGCGAGCAGGUGCGAAAGCAGGUCAUAGUGAUCCGGUGGUUCUGAAUGGAAGGGCCAUCGCUCAACGGAUAAAAGGUACUCCGGGGAUAACAGGCUGAUACCGCCCAAGAGUUCAUAUCGACGGCGGUGUUUGGCACCUCGAUGUCGGCUCAUCACAUCCUGGGGCUGAAGUAGGUCCCAAGGGUAUGGCUGUUCGCCAUUUAAAGUGGUACGCGAGCUGGGUUUAGAACGUCGUGAGACAGUUCGGUCCCUAUCUGCCGUGGGCGCUGGAGAACUGAGGGGGGCUGCUCCUAGUACGAGAGGACCGGAGUGGACGCAUCACUGGUGUUCGGGUUGUCAUGCCAAUGGCACUGCCCGGUAGCUAAAUGCGGAAGAGAUAAGUGCUGAAAGCAUCUAAGCACGAAACUUGCCCCGAGAUGAGUUCUCCCUGAGACUUAGAGUCUCCUGAAGGAACGUUGAAGACGACGACGUUGAUAGGCCGGGUGUGUAAGCGCAGCGAUGCGUUGAGCUAACCGGUACUAAUGAACCGUGAGGCUUAACCUUACAACGCCGAAG
rnacentral:rRNA from 1 species